GACGCUAGCUACAGGCUUAACACAUGCAAGUCGAGGGGCAGCAUUUCAGUUUGCUUGCAAACUGGAGAUGGCGACCGGCGCACGGGUGAGUAACACGUAUCCAACCUGCCGAUAACUCGGGGAUAGCCUUUCGAAAGAAAGAUUAAUACCCGAUGGUAUAAUCAGACCGCAUGGUCUUGUUAUUAAAGAAUUUCGGUUAUCGAUGGGGAUGCGUUCCAUUAGGCAGUUGGUGAGGUAACGGCUCACCAAACCUUCGAUGGAUAGGGGUUCUGAGAGGAAGGUCCCCCACAUUGGAACUGAGACACGGUCCAAACUCCUACGGGAGGCAGCAGUGAGGAAUAUUGGUCAAUGGGCGCAGGCCUGAACCAGCCAAGUAGCGUGAAGGAUGACUGCCCUAUGGGUUGUAAACUUCUUUUAUAUGGGAAUAAAGUUUUCCACGUGUGGAAUUUUGUAUGUACCAUAUGAAUAAGGAUCGGCUAACUCCGUGCCAGCAGCCGCGGUAAUACGGAGGAUCCGAGCGUUAUCCGGAUUUAUUGGGUUUAAAGGGAGCGUAGGUGGACAGUUAAGUCAGUUGUGAAAGUUUGCGGCUCAACCGUAAAAUUGCAGUUGAUACUGGCUGUCUUGAGUACAGUAGAGGUGGGCGGAAUUCGUGGUGUAGCGGUGAAAUGCUUAGAUAUCACGAAGAACUCCGAUUGCGAAGGCAGCUCACUGGACUGCAACUGACACUGAUGCUCGAAAGUGUGGGUAUCAAACAGGAUUAGAUACCCUGGUAGUCCACACAGUAAACGAUGAAUACUCGCUGUUUGCGAUAUACAGUAAGCGGCCAAGCGAAAGCAUUAAGUAUUCCACCUGGGGAGUACGCCGGCAACGGUGAAACUCAAAGGAAUUGACGGGGGCCCGCACAAGCGGAGGAACAUGUGGUUUAAUUCGAUGAUACGCGAGGAACCUUACCCGGGCUUAAAUUGCAUUUGAAUAUAUUGGAAACAGUAUAGCCGUAAGGCAAAUGUGAAGGUGCUGCAUGGUUGUCGUCAGCUCGUGCCGUGAGGUGUCGGCUUAAGUGCCAUAACGAGCGCAACCCUUAUCUUUAGUUACUAACAGGUCAUGCUGAGGACUCUAGAGAGACUGCCGUCGUAAGAUGUGAGGAAGGUGGGGAUGACGUCAAAUCAGCACGGCCCUUACGUCCGGGGCUACACACGUGUUACAAUGGGGGGUACAGAAGGCAGCUACCUGGUGACAGGAUGCUAAUCCCAAAAGCCUCUCUCAGUUCGGAUCGAAGUCUGCAACCCGACUUCGUGAAGCUGGAUUCGCUAGUAAUCGCGCAUCAGCCAUGGCGCGGUGAAUACGUUCCCGGGCCUUGUACACACCGCCCGUCAAGCCAUGAAAGCCGGGGGUACCUGAAGUACGUAACCGCAANGAGCGUCCUAGGGUAAACUGGUAAUGGGC
rnacentral:rRNA from 1 species